AACCCGUAACACAACCCCAAAUUCCAUUACAGCUUCCCAUUACGCGAUCAACACCCCUCACAGUUCCAAAUUAGACCAAUGUGGAGAAAACAAAGAAUCGUGAGAAAAUUUAAGGAAUCAAAUGCGCGAAGAAGGAGAAGGCUGAUAUAAUUCAAAGCGACACCCAAAAGAUUGAUAAGGAGAAGACCAAUUGAAAGCUGGAGAUCUAGACAUGCCCGACAACGUGCUCGAUGUGUGGAUACCCAGAAAAACGAAGGAUGGAGAUGAAAUCCCUCAUUACGAAGAAGAUGGCUGCAUUGAAUGCAUCUAGGAAAGCAGCUGUUGCCACCCCUUCUAACUCUACCAAAGCUGCCGCCAGCGCCAUAAAUUUCAAGUCUACCAAAGCUGUUGCUGCUGCCACAUCUACCUCAACAACGAUAAGGCCUCCGACAACAAGUAAAGCAUCAAAAGGCCAAGCCCCAACACCUUCCAGAUCAUCACAAAGGAUUAGGCAAAAUUCCAAACAAGGGGGAAAGUAGGAGGAACUUUGAGGAAUGAUAAGCAAGCCCUAACCUUUUUUGUGCUACCUAGAUUGCUAGCUCUAAUUUUUUUGGAGGAUGAUUAGAGCUAUUUUGAAAUGCAAACAUUUGAGAUGUUGUAAACAUUUGGGCUGCUUAUUUUGUUGGAUUUUAAGAAUG